UGUUGGCCUAGUUCUGUGUGGAAGACUAGUGAUUUUGUUGUUUUUAGAUAACUAAAUUGACAACAAAUCGCAGUCUACCAUAUGGCACAGGCCAUAACCUCU
ensembl:miRNA aca-mir-7-2 aca-mir-7-2